rnacentral:rRNA from 1 species
UACGGAGGGAUCGAACGUUAAUCGGAAUUACUGGGCGUAAAGCGCGCGUAGGCGGUUUGUUAAGUGGGAUGUGAAAGCCCCGGGCUUAACCUGGGAACUGCAUUCCAAACUGACAAACUAGAGUAUGGUAGAGGGUGGUAGAAUUUCCUGUGUAGCGGUGAAAUGCGUAGAUAUAGGAAGGAAUACCGAUGGCGAAGGCAGCCACCUGGACCAACACUGACGCUGAGGUGCGAAAAGCGUUAGGGGAGCAAAACCGAGGAUUACGAUACCCCGGUAGUCC